UUUCCGUAGGUGAACCUGCGGAAGGAUCAUUAAUAAUAAGUAUUUUACGGCACUUUUAUCAAUUUAUAUCCUACUCGUGUGCAAUGUCAGGGUUGAUUUUUUUCUCGAGUGGAUCAUCCCCAAACAUCCACUAUAUAUCAAGCCUCUGUCUGAAAAAUAUUAUAAAUAAAACAAAUCAAUAUACAACUUUCAACAACGGAUCUCUUGGCUCUC
rnacentral:misc_RNA from 1 species